rnacentral:lncRNA from 13 species
AUGAUAACAGUACAGGUUAGAAGCUGCAUUAAAUACGUGUGUGGAGGGAGAGUGGUGGGAGGAGCAGUUGAAAGAGGGCAGUCAACGGAAGCUAGGUUGGGGACACUUUCCUUCUUCCCCAAAGCCACUAUGUUGUACUGGACCGAGCACAGAAAGUCAACACCAAGACAAAAGUAUGACAAAUUGCAGGGUUUAUUGCCGGCGACCACAGACGACUCACGUCUCUCCAACCCGUGGCAGAGAAAGAAGGCAACUCUGGCAGUUACUGAUAAGAGAAGGUAAGCAGAUUUACCUCUUUGGUAAACUAGCAGUUUUAUUUACAGAAGCCAAGGCCCGCAGUCAGCCUUUAUAACUUAUUUUAAAAACAGUUUUGUCUUUUAUAAAAUGGCAUUGUUCAGGUUCUAACUCUAGGCCAGCUAUAUCACAACUAGUUUAAUUCUCGUGAUAGGUGCUGGGGUAUGGUAGAUGAACACUUGGCCUUUGGAGUCAGGAUACUGGGUUUCAGUCCUUGGCAACUGCCUUCACGUCUCUGAGCUUCAGUUCCCUCAUCUGUAAAAUGGGCAAGCAGCCAUUUUAAGUGUGUAGUUCCCAUAUAUGGGUGCUGUGCUCACUGUAAUGUGUUCAGCUCUGGCUCCACCGGUGGUUCCCAUUACCAGUCCCCAGCGUAGUCUAGACGCCUGACAGAGUUUACCAGUCCAAGGGGGAAAAGCAGUUUUCUUUUCUAUUUUUAUUUUGUGAGACAGAAUGUCAUUCAGUUGCCCAGGCUGGAGUGCAGUGGCGCAAUCUCGGCUCACCACAACCUCUGCCUCCUCGGUUCAAGCAAUUCUCAUGCCUCAGCCUCAUGAGUAGCUAGGAUUACAGACGCUCACACCAUGCCCAGCCAAUUUUUAUAUUUUUAGUAGAGAUGAGGUUUCGAGAUGUUGUCCAGGCUAGUCUUGAACUCCUGACCUCAGGUGAUCCACCCACCUCAGCCUCCCAAAGUGCUGGGAUUACAGGUGUGAACCACUGCACCUGGCCUGAAUAGUGGUUUUCUAUUUUUCCUAUUUUUAGAAUAUUAAAUGUUUCUUUUAAAAAUACAACGAUGGGAGGACUGACUAGGUGGAAUACAGAGACUAUUAGGCAUUGAACUUACCUGGUAUCAGCUCGUGUUAUCUUUGAGGAGGUUGUGUAGAGAAGGAACAUUUUAAUUUUAUGACCCUGUUUUAUUAAAUUUUUUUAUUCCCAUGAAUUACUUUUAAAAAUCAACUUUAUUAAUGUAUAAUUUACAUACAAUAAAAUUCAUCCAUUUUAAGUUCA